rnacentral:rRNA from 1 species
UACGAAGGGGGCUAGCGUUGUUCGGAAUUACUGGGCGUAAAGCGUGCGCAGGCGGCUUCUCAAGUCAGGGGUGAAAGCCCAGAGCUCAACUCUGGAAUUGCCUUUGAGACUGAGUGGCUUGAGUACGGGAGAGGUGAGUGGAAUUCCCAGUGUAGAGGUGAAAUUCGUAGAUAUUGGGAAGAACACCGGUGGCGAAGGCGGCUCACUGGCCCGAAACUGACGCUCAUGCACGACAGCGUGGGGGAUCAAACAGG